UGAUAAUUAAAAGGAACUUGUUUUUUCGAACGUGAAAACCCAGUAGGCGUACUCAAUAAAACAGUUACCAAAAACCAGCAAUUUCUGAAGGGCGGAACACUGUGCUGCCUCACACUGGUUAGAUCCGCGGAGGAGAGCGACAGAGCCAGGGAGGAAUGGACGGCGGUGGCGACGUCGGCGUUGGCCGGAGCCGAGGGGAAGCGGCGGGUGGCGGCUGCUCGCCUCCGCCUUCGCCUUC